rnacentral:lncRNA from 1 species
UUCAAUUGGUUUUGAGAAACUAUGAAUGAAUGGUGUUGUUGGGGUUUACAAUUCCAUCUUAUCCACUCUCAUAUAUCUACUCUUCUGAUUUAUCUCACUUAUUUAUCUAAUUUCCAUGCACACUUUCUUAUUUACCCUUAACCCAAUCCCUUGGUGAAAAGAGCCUAUUAUUAAUUACCGGCUUGCUAUCCCUAGCCUCCCCUAGUAACCAAUAAUGCAAUGCGAUCAGAAGCAACUACAAUUGACUGUCCUACCCCUAUCCCUAGGUGAUAUUGGCAUAAUCAAGGAAUUUCCCACCAGUUCAUGACAUUACCGUACAUCCCCAUAUCGAUAAAGACAAACA